rnacentral:rRNA from 1 species
CACAAACAGCUAGGAUGUUGGCUUAGAAGCAGCCAUACAUUUAAAGAGUGCGUAAUAGCUCACUAGUCGAGUGAUCCUGCGCCGAAGAUAAACGGGGCUCAAACUUACCACCGAAGCUUUGGAAUUAGUAUAACUAAUUGGUAGAGGAGCAUUCUAUACAGGUAGAAGGAGGCGCGUAAGCAAAUCUGGACGGUAUAGAAGAGAGAAUGUUGGCAUGAGUAGCGUAAGGCGGGUGAGAAUCCCGUCCGCCGAAAAUCUAAGGUUUCCUGAGGAAGGUUCGUCCUCUCAGGGUAAGUCGGGACCUAAGCCGAGAGCGAACGCUGUAGGCGAUGGACAACAGGUUGAUAUUCCUGUACCACCAAGGAUUGUUUGAAUGAAGUGGGGACACAGAAGGAUAGAUUGAGCACGCCGUUGGUUGAGCGUGUCCAAGCAGCAAGGCUUGAAAGUAGGCAAAUCCGCUUUCUAUAAGGCUGAGCUGUGAUGGGGUGGUCGAAUGACCGGUAGCAAUCGAUUUCACGCUGUCAAGAAAAGCCGCUAAUGAGAUCCAAGGUGCCCGUACCGCAAACCGACACAGGUAGAUGAGGAGAGAAUCCUAAGGUGAGCGAGAGAACUAUUGUUAAGGAACUCGGCAAAAUAACCCCGUAACUUCGGGAGAAGGGGUGCCUGCUUCGGCAGGCCGCAGUGAAGAGGUCCAGGCAACUGUUUACCAAAAACACAGGUCUCUGCUAAAGCGAAAGCUGAUGUAUAGGGGCUGACGCCUGCCCGGUGCUGGAAGGUUAAGGGGAAGUGUUAGGGCAACCGAAGCACAGAACUUAAGCCCCAGUAAACGGCGGCCGUAACUAUAACGGUCCUAAGGUAGCGAAAUUCCUUGUCGGGUAAGUUCCGACCCGCACGAAAGGCGUAAUGAUCUGGGCACUGUCUCAACAAUAGACUCGGUGAAAUUGUAGUACCGGUAAAGAUGCCGGUUACCCGCAGCAGGACGGAAAGACCCCGUGGAGCUUCACUGUAGCUUGAUAUUGAUUUUCGGCAUUGCAUGUACAGGAUAGGUGGGAGACGUUGAGUUCAGCACGCCAGUGUUGGAGGAGUCACCGUUGGGAUACCACCCUUGUAAUGUUGGAAAUCUAACCUAGUACCGUGAUCCGGUACAGGGACAGUGUCAGGUGGGCAGUUUGACUGGGGCGGUCGCCUCCUAAAGAGUAACGGAGGCGCCCAAAGGUUCCCUCAGCGCGGUCGGAAAUCGCGCGUAGAGUGCAAAGGCAGAAGGGAGCUUGACUGCGAGACAUACAAGUCGGGCAGGGACGAAAGUCGGGCUUAGUGAUCCGGUGGUUCCGAGUGGAAGGGCCAUCGCUCAACGGAUAAAAGCUACCCCGGGGAUAACAGGCUUAUACCCCCCAAGAGUUCACAUCGACGGGGGUGUUUGGCACCUCGAUGUCGGCUCGUCUCAUCCUGGGGCUGGAGUAGGUCCCAAGGGUUGGGCUGUUCGCCCAUUAAAGAGGUACGCGAGCUGGGUUCAGAACGUCGUGAGACAGUUCGGUCCCUAUCCGCUGUGGGCGUUGGAAAUUUGAGAGGAGCUAUCCUUAGUACGAGAGGACCGGGAUGGACAUACCUCUGGUGUACCGGUUGUUCUGCCAAGGGCAUAGCCGGGUAGCUACGUAUGGAAGGGAUAAGCGCUGAAAGCAUCUAAGUGCGAAGCCCACCUCAAGAUAAGAUUUCCUCCGAAAGGUAAGACCCGUGAGAGACUAUCACGUUGAUAGGUCAGAGGUGUAAGUACGGUAACGUAUUCAGCUGACUGAUACUAAUAGGUCGAACACUUGACCAA